GCAUCCUGGGGGACAGGAAAGAGGACCCUCAGACGCCACACGGGGCUCGGUGGCAGGUCCCUCCCGAGGCCCUGCUUCCAAGGGAAUCGCAGAGAUACACAGGUGCCACCGGGGCUCGGCAGAACUGGGGUCUGCAGCUCCUUCCAGAAAGCACUUUGUAGGCAGCUGCUGUCUUCUCAAAGCUGCAUCUGGCCGCCCCUCCCACAGGGACACUGGGAGUGGUGGGGCCGCUGCAGCUGUCACUGAGUGCAGGGCGUGGAGCAUGAACCCUGGCGCCAGGCCAGCCUGGGCUAGGAUCCACCCUCUGUGGGCAGGCACCUGCAUCCCUGAGCCCAGGCCCCAGUCUGUCUAAUGGGGCAGCAGUGCCUUCCACGAUAGGUCGGCGGGAGAAUGGAGUGGAUGCUGCGCCGAAGCUGCCCGCAGGGGACACUCGGUGGAGACCUGGCCCGCAGUCAGGAGGAGCUCGCCCAGCCCGGCCCGGCACAUGCCCCGCCUUCCCGGCCUCCACAGCCAGUUCACCUCGGGCAGCCCACCCGCACCUACCACCCUGUUUGCCACUGGAGGGCUCUGAGGGCCGUGAUUCAAGGCAUCAUGAAUGACAAAGGGCUGGAGGGCUGCUGGGUGUGGCUCUCAGAGGUGACAGCACACUCAGGACUGGGUGUCCAGGGUGACUCUUCUAAGUGAUUGUUAGACCGUGUGAAAGGUAAACAAACAGGCUCAUGUCCUUCCACUAAGCAGAUCCUUAGUGGGAACCAUGUACUCAUCCACAUCCACCCACAGGGUGUGUGUGUCACCGAGCAGCUUGCAGGGCAGUUACUCCAGAGCCUCAUGGCGCUCCUUGCAGUCCCUGGGGUGUACUGAAUCAUAGGCUUUCUUGGCCUCUCAGAGGCACUUUUAAUAAUAGUCCACACACUAGGCCAUUUUGGAAGGAGAACCCCCAACCCCUUCCCUGGGCAGUUCAGGUGCCUCUGCUCUGUCCUCGGCCCCCUGCAGCCCAUUAACAAGCCUGGUCCGAAGCGUCACUUGUCGCGUGACUCUGCUGUUGGACAUCAGCCAAGAGAAGCCAUGGGGGCUCUCAGGGGAAGUCACAUCAUCAAGCAACUGAAGAACAAUCAACGUGUGUGCCAAGCACUCCUACCCUCAAGCAGUGAGAGCGAUCAGAUGGUGGAGGAGACAAGGAGGUGAGCACCAUGACGGUCAGCAGCACAGGCAAUGCCCAGAGAGGUGGCACCCAACUCUGCCAGGGAAGCAGCGGCAUUCGCCUGCCCACCAGAACGGGGUGAUUUUCUUAUCCCAGGUUGGGGCCACAGGGCACCUGAUAACUAGACAAGGGGGGUGAUAUUUUUGUGCCUUGUUUUUUUUUAAAAAAAAAACAGCUUUCUUAAGAUGUCACUUACAUGCCAUAGAACUCACCCAUUUUAAAAAAUGGGCAAAUGUGGCUUUUGAAUUUAUUUUCCUUAACAGUCUUUAUAGUGCUUUUUUACAGUAAUAUCACAAAGGGGAACUCACCAUGGUGCCUUUUCUGUCUUGUUUCCAGAAAGACAUUUGCUAGGCCAAGAUUGUUUUAUUUGCACCUCUAGCAAGAAGAAAAAAGCACUCCCUUUUCUAGGAGCUUCCCAACUCAGAACUUCCCAUUCACUUUAUUUUAUUUUUUGAGACAGAGUCUCACUCUGUCGCACAGGCUGGAGUGCAAUGGCACGAUCUCCUCUCACUGCAACCUCCGCCUCCCGGGUUCAAGCAAUUUUCCCACCUCAGCCUCCUGAGUACCUGGGAUUACAGGCACCUGCCAUCAUGCCCAGCUAAUUUUUGUAGAGAUAGGGUUUUACCAUGUUGGCCAGGCUGGUAUUGAACUCCUGACCUCAGGUGAUCCUCCUGCCUCAGCCUCCCAAAGUGUUGGGAUUACAGGCGUGAGCCAUUGCGCCCAGCCCCAUUCACUUUAAAGUUUUCUUUGUCUGUGGUUUAAAACACUAAAUCUCAUCCCCUCCCCUCACUUAUGGCCCAUGACAUUGCCACAGGACCUCCCACUGACUAUCGGGGAGAGAACAGCACCGCCAGCUCUGGCCAGACUCCAGGCUCUGGCAGCAGAAUGUCCGUGGCCCAUCUUGGUUGUGGACCCGUUUUGUAAUAAAAUUUGCCCCGCAGGGAAAGGACUCGUGUUUUUUGUUUUUGUGUGUUACCGUGUGGCAUAGUAUAAAGUUGGAACUGGGAAAUGUAGUUAUUGAAUGAAGGAGAGUUGGUUUGUUUCCAGAAAGAAGCAUCAACCUACAAGCCAAGAGGAGAACGAGAUCCUAUUGAGAGGCGGCAGAUCCCCGGACGAACGCCCCCUGCAGCCCGCAACAAAGGCACUAGGGAGGAAGCGUGCGAAGGAGACGUCCACACAGCACGUCCGCUCAGCUUUCCCAGGGCCCAGGAGAAGAAAGAAGGGAGAAAAGAACGGGAGGAAGAACAGGAAAGAACGAAGAAUAGAAGAGAAAGUUGAGGAACAGAGAGGAAGAAGCGGCUCCUCUUAGUCAGCAAGUCUGGGCGGGGAGAGGCUCUGUGAGAAGCGCUCGCAAGCCUUGGUCUCAGCCCGCAGACACCACCCGAGUGCACGGCCAGGACUUGCAAAGGACUUACCAUGGGAGCCAAGCCUUGAGGCUCCCUGCUGCCCUUCUAAGGAGCAAUGCCCUUAUGGUUUAAGUGAAAAAACAAUUGCCAGUCCCCAAAAUGGUUCUUGUCCUUGAAGGCCAGAGCAGGAGAGCACAGUGUUUCCCACGGGCCACCAUGCCUGCACCCUGAACUCUGCACCCCACCCAGAGCUGCUCCCGACCUUGGCCUCCACAGGACGGCUCUGAAUGUAGCUGUCCUUCACUUAUUUCUCUUUAGAGACAGGGUCUUGCUCUGCUGCCCAGGCUGGAGUGCAGUGGUGCAAUCAUAGCUCACAGUAACCUUCAACUUCUAGGCUCAAGCAAUCCUCCCACUUCAGCUUCCCCAGUAGCUGGGACUACAGGUGUGUACCGCUAGGUGCAGCUAGUUUGUAAAAUUUUUUUGUAGAGACGGGUUCCCAUUAUGUUGCCCAGACUGGUCUCAAACCCCUGGCCUCAAGUGAUCCUCCAGCCUCAGCCUCCCAAAGUGCUUACUCCCAAAGGGAUUACUGGCAUGAGCCACUGUGCCCAGCCUCACCUAUUUCUUAAUUUGCACUAUUAAUGGCCAAGUUAUAGUCCCUUCUGCAAAUGUCAAAUUACAACCUGAAGAAGUACUUUAAGUUAGAAAUGAAAAGUUAGAAUCUGUUCACCCCAUACAAUUAAGAAACCGUGAUGGCUAUCGUGACCUCCCUGGAAAAAAGGGGGUUCUGAGGUUGUAGGUUCAGCCUCAGAGCGAGUUUACCUGGGAACUGCUUUUGUCCACAGAAGAUCACACAAGGGCAUGAAUGGUUUCUCAAAGCCUUCCAACAACACGAGUCCCAAAUGCUGACGAGCAAGAAAUACUGUGCAUUUUUCAUAAAGCUAAACUAGGUCCACUCAAAGGAUGGCCCUGUUUUCAGAGAUGGUGCCUUUCCCAUAUUAAAGAGUAUAACUGUGUCAGUGGUAGAUGGCGAGUUUCUCUUUAUUUAUGUCCAUGCUUGGAAAGACCAGAAUGUUGGCACACCUCUGUUGGCUGCCUGCCAUUCCCCUCCCAUUUUGCAGAAACUUUACUUGUCCAUGAAAUUGAAAAGUCAGAGAACUACUGCCCUAAAAUCCCAAGGUCAAAAUCAACAGAACUGUCUUUUGACAUACACCACACUUCUGACUGCAAGGUUGAUCAUUAAAAUGAAAUCCCACUUUGACAAACUGGGUCGGGCACCCAGAUUUGGGGCACGUAAAGCUUUAGAUCUAGGCUCCUAGCAAAAUAGGCUGAUACAGAAAGGAAUUGUCCCUUGAUGUCUAUUCACCACUCUGCUUGGAGAAACCAUGCACCACUUCCACUUGCUGCUCAGCGAUCUUCUCGGAAGGGCAAAGGGCCAGCCUCCCAGGCCUGCUCACAGACACAUACUGCUUAGAGAACUCGGUGUCGCCCCAGCCCUGCACGGAGAGAGAAAGGGCCUGGACUCCAGCACCUGGCUUUGAUCAGUGAGCUGGAAAACUGGGUAAAUCACUUCAUCUUUCGGACCUGAAUUUCCUCAUCAGUAGUGUAAGAGCUUUGGAGUAGAUGAUCACUUUGAGAACCCUACCAAGUUGAACACUAUCAUUUAAAUGUGAACAUAGUUUAGAGGAAAACACCCUAAGAGACUUUUAACAAGAAGGAGAUGUGCCUCUCAGCUUGGUUUACACGAUGACCACACUCUGCCUGAAUACAGGGGAGGAAGGGCCCGUUGAGAAAAAUCUCCUUUGCCUUGAUGGGCUUGAGGGCCCACGUUUAUUGUAGAUUUGUUUGUGUGGCUCUUUACAAAAGAGGCUCAUUUUCUAAACCUUUUCUUAGCAUACUCUGCUUUCGGCUAAAAGUAACAUUUUCGGCUGGGCACGGUGGCUCACGCCUGUAAUCCCAGCACUUUGGGAGGCCGAGGAGGGCAGAUCACAAGACCUUGUGAGAUCGAGACCAUCCUGGCAAACACGGUGAAACCCCGUCUCUACUAAACAUACAAAAAAAUUAGCCGGGCAUGGUGGCGGGUGCCUGUAGUCCCAGAUAUUUGGGAGGCUGAGGCAGGAGAAUGGCGUGAACCCAGGAGGCAGAGCUUGCAGUGAGCCGAGAUCGCGCCACUGCACUCCAGCCUGGGAGACAGAGUGAAACUCAGUCUCAAAAAAAAAAAAUAAAAAAAGUAACAUUUUAUAUGCUGCCUCAAUGCUUAGACCAGAAAACAGAGCAAGAAAAAUACUGCCUCAUGCAUGAAAACAGAAGGGGGAAAUUCAUAUGGUUUUCUGUUUCUCUGUCGGGGCACAUAUGUGCAUCGGUGCAGAACCUCGAUAACUUAGAAUCUUGUUGUUAAAAAGCUUCAGGCCUCAGACCAUCUCCAUCAAAGCCAUCUGCAUCAGAAGCAGUUUGCUGGAAGUACACAUUUCUAGGUUCUACCUCUAACCUGCAGAGACAGAAUCACUGGGGUUCGGGCCUGGGAAUCUGCACAACUCAUGCUCUAAUGACAAGGUAAAUGAGUCCAUACAUACAAUUUGUAAUUUGUGUAUUUGUAAGGGGAUACCAGAGAGCAAUGCCCAUAACCUACAUAGGAAAGAGGCCCACAUGCCAGCUCUGUGCAGUGAUGGUAUAAAGGCAUCAUCAGGGAAAAAAGGUAUCAGGAUCUUGAUUCCAAAAACUGAGCAAACUUACAAGAGCUUCUCUGCUAAAGGUGAUGGCAAGUCUUUUGGACUGAAAUUUGUCUAAAGGAGGCAAAUUUAGCUUAUCCAUCAUACUAGAGUCUGUUAAGAGUCUUGUGGACUAAAAUCCUAACACAUUCCCAAGUGUAGGUAGGGUUAAAGUUCUUAUUCAGCUGCAGAGGACAUCCUGCAAAGCUCUGGGUAAUUCUCUCCUUUGAGAAACAGAGAAAAACAGAACCCAUGAGAGCCAGCCCGCAUUUAUGGAGUUUGAGGAAAAGGUCAUCAGAAUCCUAUAGAAUAUAUCUGAUUCUAGGGAAUGACUUGUUUGGGUUUAAAACAUAUGGUGAAUCAGAAAUAAUUUUUUACUGGUUAAUGAGACCUGGCCAUAAAAAUGCUUUUCUCACCAAGGGGAAGCUAAGCUUCGCUCCUUCAUAAGAUCCAGUAGUUAUGAGACUCCCUUCCUUGCAUAUGCCUUUGGAGGAGAGAAACCAAUGAAAGCAAAGGCCUUGCUCAGAGAAAGGACAGAACAAGUAGGGGGACCCUGGAGAACUGGACCACAGACAGGAACAGGACAGGGGGCACCACAGCAGGUUCGAACCCAGCCAAGACCAAGGUGGAUCCUUGUAGGGCUUUAUCCUGCUUAUUCUGGAGAUGCUUUGAGAUCAGAUUGACAACCAAAUUGUUGAUCCAGAAGCAAUCAAGACCAUGUCCAUUGCUGCGGAGAACAUCCACCCCACAAGCACAUCCUGCCUUAGGACCAGAGGCAGGAAAAUACGAGCAGGGGCGAUUGGGGCCAUUACUUCUCCCUUGGUCCACUACACCUAGAGAAUAGCUUCAUUGUGUGUGUGUGAACCCUCCUUAAAAAAUAUUUUGUCAUGUUCUUCAUUGCCAAGAGAGGGUCAGCUCCAGACUCACUAAUAACUGGCUCUGUGAGAUCUCGCCCACCGGAGAAAGGCCUGCUACCACACAACACAGCCACACGGCGCACCCACAGCUGCAACGUGAAGGGACCCCUGGCACCCAGUGCACUGACCUUCUCCUGGUAGAGCUUGUGCAGCCAGGCCGAGCACUCGUCAUCGUCUUCAGGGAUGUCUUCCAGUGGGAUCCUCCUGCAAAGGCAGAGAGCAGCUAGCAGAGAGGAGGUGAUGCCCCCCUACAACAUACAGUUUCCAGUAACGGUGCUGCCGUUUUUUGUUUUUAUCUGGGUCACCUAAAUAAUGUGGAACUGAAGAGAGUAAUGCAAGUGAUAGAAAGAAGGGGCGUUCCACAUCCACACUGGAGAAACAGGCAAAAAUGCAAUUAUGACCCACGAAGGAACAACCCAGGGGCCAAUUCAAUGGCACAGACAGAUGCUGUGAGAACAGGGGACACCUGCCUCAUUCCGUCUUCCCUCCCACCUCACAAAAAGGCCCCCAAAACCUGAUAUUUGCCUCUUCCAAAGAGGACAACACUGCCUCAGUUUCCACACGAGACAAUCCAAUAUACACAGAAUCGAUGCAUCAGAGACAAUAACCUAGUAAUUUCUUCUUAGCCAAGUAACCAACUUACUGGUAAUGGCAGAUUAUCUCCCAUCAAAUGAUUCCUCUGGCCUCUUGGUUAGCCUUGAGGCAGACUUUCUGCAAAGGUUUUGACAAGUCAGUGAUGUGGAUGGUGGGGAAUUAAAGUUCUCCCAGAUGGAAGUAGCCAGGGCAUCUUCCCCAGGCUCCAUGGCUCAGACAGGGGUCUUGAGUCACUGUGCACCAGCGAGAGCUCAGAGACUUGGGUGGCUCUGGGGACUGGUGCUGGCAAGGGCUUGCCACUCGAUCAUUUGCAAAGAGCCCAUACUGAACACAGGGAGAAGUCACUCUGCCACCUUUGCCCUUCCUAUUUGUUCUCAGGUUGAUGGCUCUUGUGAUUUCAAGGGACGUUCAUUUAUACUCAAUUUUGUCCAUGUCAAAGUCUGCAUCUGGCUUGAUUUCUCAGGUCACUUCACUCCCUUCUAUGGCCUAAGAAUAUCUUAGUAAGAAGAUUUGAGAGUUUAUCUAUCACACUAGAGUCUGUUAAGAGAUAAAGGAUGGGAUUCCAUCUUAUAACAGAUUACAAUGAGCCACUUCCUUUUCAAGGCAGUAUUGUACAGAGGUAAGUUUUUCACAUAAUUAGAACUUACCCCAUAAGCUCCUCCGGAAAUAUUCUUUCACCUUUUCUGUUCCUACGCACACUGCACUUCUCUGGAUCCUCUACUUCUUUGCUGUUUGAUCUACUCUGCUUUGGAAAUGAGAUCUCUCAAGUCUGCCUAAUAUUUCUUUAUUUGGAGAGUAGGAAUGUAGUGAGUUUUGCCCUUUUCAGCAACUUGACAUUAUCGCCCUUGAUGUUUCAGUGCUUUGUACUGAUGUGUGUUCAGAAACAUGCCUCAAUCAUUUUUAAUGGGCAGCUACAACAAAAAGAUGUGUGUUGAAUAGCAUCAAUGCUAACCUUCCUCUGGGGUCAAGAGGGUGAUCUGGCUUCGGUGAGUGAACGUGCCAGUACCAUUUUUGGGCUGAUUGUCACACAUGCUUUGGAGAGUUGCAGCUACCUGAGAGGUGAAAUAAUCUUGUACACAUCUUGGGGUUUUCCCAAAUAACUGAGCCCAGCUGGCCAUUGAGUGGAGCUCCUGCCAGCUGUCAGAGAACAUGGGGAAUAAAACCUCACUUUACUCCUAGGAGAAGGUCUAAAGGUCUCCUUCGGGCAGGUGGGUGAUUCUCCUGCCUUCAUAUGCCACAGAACUGAGUCACAGGGCAGACUGUUGCCUGCACCAUCAGACAAGAAGUCAGUGAUGAUGACGAUGCUGUCCUAUUUUCAUGGGAAAGCCAGAGUCAUUUUUAGAUCAGAAGCUACUUAACUUUGGCCGCCAGUCCACCAAAAUAUCUCCCAGGAAAGCCUGGACGUUUGGUGUGGCCUGGUGGGAAUGUAGGGCCCCUGGAUUUUCAGGGUGCUGUGUUGUAAUGUGGCUUCUGUAAGGUCUUGAAUCAGAAGGUUAUACGCCCCUGGAUUAGUUCUCCAUUAGUGGGCAUUUCAGAUUCUCUUGAUUAGCAUUCAGAGAAGAUGAUCCACAGCACAACAAACCAAUACGGUCCCUGACCCGUCACACUGGGUUUUAAUGCAUGAACUGCCAUUGUGUUUACUAUCUGCAGCACCUUCCAAUUCUGUUUCCCACUGAUUUUGGUGACAUUCUGGAGGUGUUCAGCCCAUUCUAUAAGCAGGCAGAGAGAACUAGUUUGACUAAUAUGUUCUGGAAGUGUCUUCAAUAAAAUCAUUAAUAGCCUGGAACAUAACACAUAAGUGAGACACUGCAAGAGUUCUGCAUUUGUGUCUAGACCGCCUUAUAUAAAUACACAUCUGUGUGUAUUCCAUACAGCAGACCCAUCGCCCACGAAAAGGGUCAAUAACAUAUUCUCUUCACACCAACACCAAAAUAAUUAUAAAAUACAGCCUUCCAUUUGUUCAACCUAAGCUCUUUGAUACGAAAAAGCUGGUUACAGAGGAUCCGGAAGGAGCUGGGACGGAAGGAGACUUCAGCAGAUCAUUCCAAUAGUAGGAUGUGUCAAAUUCAAUGCAAAACAGACUGCAAAGAAGUCAGUGUGACCCAGGGAUCCCUGGAAGAAAGUCUCUAGGUCAUUUGUGAUGUGUUUACUUUGAAAUGGGCACUGUCUUUUCUGGAAAGGAAACAGUUCGACUUACCUAACAUACAAAUCUGCAUGGUAUUUCUUUCCGUUUAGGACUCCCAGCAGUGUUGGAUUUUCAUUAUUUCUGAAAUUGAGUGUACAGUCAUAUACAGCUGAAACUAUAAAAAAUAAAACAAAUACAAAGCAGUA